rnacentral:rRNA from 1 species
CCGGAUAUGAGCUGCGAUCGCAUGGUCAGCAGUUGGAAAGAUUUUUCGGUCUGGGAUGGGCUCACGGCCUAUCAGCUUGUUGGUGAGGUAAUGGCUCACCAAGGCGUCGACGGGUAGCCGGCCUGAGAGGGUGACCGGCCACACUGGGACUGAGACACGGCCCAGACUCCUACGGGAGGCAGCAGUGGGGAAUAUUGCACAAUGGGCGAAAGCCUGAUGCAGCAACGCCGCGUGAGGGAUGACGGCCUUCGGGUUGUAAACCUCUUUUAGCAGGGAAGAAGCGAAAGUGACGGUACCUGCAGAAAAAGCGCCGGCUAACUACGUGCCAGCAGCCGCGGUAAUACGUAGGGCGCAAGCGUUAUCCGGAAUUAUUGGGCGUAAAGAGCUCGUAGGCGGUUUGUCGCGUCUGCUGUGAAAUCCCGAGGCUCAACCUCGGGUCUGCAGUGGGUACGGGCAGACUAGAGUGCGGUAGGGGAGAUUGGAAUUCCUGGUGUAGCGGUGG